rnacentral:tRNA from 1 species
GGAGAGGUAGCGAAGCGGUCAUAACGCGGCGGUCUUGAAAACCGUUUGAGGUAACACUCGCGCGGGUUCGAAUCCCGCCCUCUCCG